rnacentral:lncRNA from 1 species
UGACUUUAUUCGCAAGAUUAGUUGAAGUUGUGUCUCGGUUGGGUGAAGGCGCGUCUGCAUUUGCUAAAAGAAACCCUUUGAUAUGUUGGAGUGACCUUUGCUGAGUGCUGACCUGGCUUGAUCACAUGACCUGAUAUGGCGAAGCGACUCGAUGACGUCAUGUCCCGCCUGGGGACUGGCCGCUGGAACCUCCUGCACAUCCUCUCCCUCUCUUACUGCUUCUCUCUGACCACGUACCACACCCUGGGCGGCGCCUUCCUCGCCCCC